AUUGAACGCUGGCGGCAGGCUUAACACAUGCAAGUCGAACGAAUGGCGGAAGUGUGAGUAAUGCAUGGGAACAUAGCUUAUGGAUGGGGAUCACUAAGGGAACCUGUAGCUAAUACCGCGUACAAUCGGAUGAGCCCAAGUGGGAUUAGGUAGUUGGGGAGGUAACGGCUCAACAAGACGACGAUCUCUAGCUGGUUUGAGAGGAUGACCAGCCACACUGGGACUGAGACACGGCCCAGACUCCUACGGGAGGCAGCAGUGGGGAAUAUUGCGCAAUGGGGGCAACCUGACGCAGCCAUGCCGCGUGAGUGAAGAAGGCCUUCGGGUUGUAAAGUUCUUUCGGUAGGGAAGCGGUAACUACAGAAGAAGCACCGGCUCCCUCCGUGCCAGCAGCCGCGGUAAUUC
rnacentral:rRNA from 1 species